rnacentral:rRNA from 1 species
UACGUAGGGUGCGAGCGUUGUCCGGAAUUAUUGGGCGUAAAGAGCUCGUAGGCGGCUUGUCGCGUCGGAUGUGAAAGCUCGGGCUUAACCCGGUCUGCAUUCGAUACGGGCAGGCUAGAGUUCGGUAGGGAGAUCGGAAUUCCUGUGUAGCGGUGAAUGCGCAGAUAUCAGGAGAACACCAAUGCGAAGGCAGAUCUCUGGCCGUACUGACGCUGAGGAGCGAAGCAUGGGGAGC